GUGUCAGCAGCCGCGGUAAUACGUAGGGUGCAAGCGUUAAUCGGAAUUACUGGGCGUAAAGCGUGCGCAGGCGGUUAUGUAAGACAGUUGUGAAAUCCCCGGGCUCAACCUGGGAACUGCAUCUGUGACUGCAUAGCUAGAGUACGGUAGAGGGGGAUGGAAUUCCGCGUGUAGCAGUGAAAUGCGUAGAUAUGCGGAGGAACACCGAUGGCGAAGGCAAUCCCCUGGACCUGUACUGACGCUCAUGCACGAAAGCGUGGGGAGCAAACAGGAUUAGAAACCCCCGUAGUCC
rnacentral:rRNA from 1 species